rnacentral:rRNA from 1 species
CUACGGGCCGCUCCAGUGGGGAAUAUUGGACAAUGGGGGAAACCCUGAUCCAGCCAUGCCGCGUGAGUGAUGAAGGCCCUAGGGUUGUAAAGCUCUUUUGUGAGGGAAGAUGAUGACGGUACCUCAAGAAUAAGCACCGGCUGAACUUCGUGCCAGCAGCCGCGGUAAUACGAAGGGUGCUAGCGUUGUUCGGAAUUACUGGGCGUAAAGCGCGCGUAGGCGGCGAUGCAAGUCAGAGGUGAAAGCCCGGAGCUCAACUCCGGAAUUGCCUUUGAAACUGCAUUGCUAGAGUAUUGGAGGGGAGUGCGGAAUUCCUAAUGUAGAGGUGAAAUUCGUAGAUAUUAGGUGGAACACCAGUGGCGAAGGCGCCUAACUGGUCCGGUACUGACGCUGAGGAACGAAAGCGUGGGGAGCAAACAGGAUUAGAUACCCUGGUAGUC